UCGGUGAUAGUGUAUCCUAGAUUUUUUUAAAUCAUCGAUAGAGCAAUCGUCUAAACAUUUUAUUUUAUUUUUGCAUUAAUUGUUCAGGUUCAAAAAGGAGCCUCGGAAUGCAGAGAUAGUGUUUUGCUUGUCCAUGCAUUAAUUUAGAAAGCACCAUGAUUGAUUAAUCCAUUUAAGAGAGAAAAGCGGCAGGGAUGUGGGCUAAGAGCCUCCAUUCUUUACAAGCUGCGCCAUCUCCGCCACCCAGUCGACUAACAGAUUUCAAAGAGUUGAUGAACACCCUCUAGAUCCAGGCCGGGGACCAAAGGAACAUAUUUAUCUCUAUGUGUGAUAUCUUUUCCAUCUCCAAUGGUCAUGGAAAGGGAAUUGACAAAAUGAAUCCUGCUUCUGGCUCCUUGGUUAAUGCACUGGACUGUACCGGGGGUGGCGGGCGCAACUUGCGUUUGAUUCUUGCAGCGUGUGGACUGGUUCACCAUCCUUUCAACGGAGAUCUCUUCAUUGGAAUCACUAGCACAAAUGCCCGCAACGGGAAGAACAAUAUUUGUUUUUU
rnacentral:lncRNA from 1 species